rnacentral:lncRNA from 1 species
UCCGACUUAAAAAGACCAAGUUUAAAUUACUCCUAUGUCGCAGUGGUAUACAAUAGAGUGGGGAAGAGAGAGAUUACAUUUAAUUGUAGAUUCAUAUUGAUGUAAACAUCCCCUUCGAAAGACUUCCUCAGGUACAUGGCGAAGGAUCAGAGAUCCAAUGAUCUAUUUAAAGUAUAGCACAAGACUAAGAUCAGCACAUAAAUUUUCAAUACUAAAAGUGAAGUAUCUACAAAGGAAAUGAUAGAAAAUACUAAUUAGGUAACAUUCUCACAACACGAUAAUUAUUAAAUUUCUCUGUUGAGUUUGUUGCCUUCUUUUUCUGUGAUAAAACCUCAAUGUAACCAUCAUGUUUAGUCGCUCAAUUAUCUAAAAAUCAAUUCCAAAGUAGUUUAGAGAUAGUUUUGUUAUCAUCACAUCAUUGUAACUCAAAAUCUAUAGUAAUAAAUCAAUUUUUUUUUUAUAAGCUAGUGUUCGGACCAACUUGCGCGCACUAACUCAAAAAUUAAAAUCAGACACUUGCACCACCUCAAAUCAUCAUAACACUAUUAAAGUCCAAACUUUUCAUAAAAAAACAUUCACAUAGAUUAGCAGUUAAUUACAUGAUUUAUUAUGGAAAAGAUAAUUACUAUUCCUUUAGGCUUCUUAGGAACUUUGUCAAUCGUGUCCGAAUUCCUUAAAGCAUUAGCAGCUAAAGCAAAUAAGGUUUUGUGACCAUCCAUACAAUUUUAACUCUCAUCAAGUGCCUGGAGUACAUGAACAACUCCAGGAUAUCUCAACCUGAUCAACCGGGUGGCAUCAGCCCGAAUGAUGUCAAGGAGUCUUCAGCAGAGUACAACUUCCAAGGUAGGCGCCCAACGCGGCUGAAUCGAUCUAAUCUAAGAGAUCGUAGCCUUGUAAAGAUCUAGGUAGACCGGUCACUUCUUGUACCAUCGUUUGAAUCAUUUUAUCGAUCACCGUUUAAAGACAUAGAAAUAACGGAAAAAUAGUGAACCAACAAGUAUCAUAUCUUAGAAGUUAGUGUUGUUGUUGUUAUUUGGAUCCAAAAUUAGAGUUGGUGUUUGAGAGCUUGAGGAAGAAUUGUACGAUUGUGUGCGGAGAGACAGAGACAAAGGGAAAGAUCUAGAAGGAAAAAGAAAGCACAUGGUUUGGUUUAAAAAACAAGCUUAUCAUUUUACCCUUCAAAGUUUACAGCCACACCCUUGGUCAUCCCUAAACCAGCUCUUCUAUAUAGUAGAAAAGAAAUAUAGUAGUAAAGUAAUAAAGAAAUAAUAAUAAUUGUGUUAUCAUGUGACCGUAUAAAGAAACAAUAAUUUUUCCAUUAUAUAGAAGGGC